CUAGCGACUUCAGAGUUUGAUCCUGGCUCAGGACGAACGCUGGCGGCGUGCCUAAUACAUGCAAGUCGAGCGAACCAAUAAGAAGCUUGCUUUUUUGUUGGUUAGCGGCGGACGGGUGAGUAACACGUGGGUAACCUGCCUGUAAGACCGGGAUAACUCCGGGAAACCGGUGCUAAUACCGGAUAGAUUAUCUUUCCACCUGGAGAGAUAAGGAAAGAUGGCUUUUGCCAUCACUUACAGAUGAGCCCGCGGCGCAUUAGCUAGUUGGUGAGGUAACGGCUCACCAAGGCGACGAUGCGUAGCCGACCUGAGAGGGUGAUCGGCCACACUGGGACUGAGACACGGCCCAG
rnacentral:rRNA from 1 species